CAGUAGCCGCGGUAAUACGGAGGGAGCUAGCGUUGUUCGGAAUUACUGGGCGUAAAGCGCACGUAGGCGGCUUUGUAAGUCAGAGGUGAAAGCCUGGAGCUCAACUCCAGAACUGCCUUUGAGACUGCAUCGCUUGAAUCCAGGAGAGGUGAGUGGAAUUCCGAGUGUAGAGGUGAAAUUCGUAGAUAUUCGGAAGAACACCAGUGGCGAAGGCGGCUCACUGGACUGGUAUUGACGCUGAGGUGCGAAAGCGUGGGAGCAACCAGGAUUAGAUACCCCGGUAGUCCCUGUCUCUUAUACA
rnacentral:rRNA from 1 species